UUUAUCAUCUUCUUCCUAAAGUGGCCGUGAAGCGUCCCUCAGGCACGACAACUCCUCUAUUUUUACAAUUUCUUUUCAACGCAGUUUUUUAAACAGUUCCCCCCUCUGGGGCUGGAUUGUUUUUUCAUAAUGAAAUGAAAGGGAUCGUGAAGACGGUUGCAUUGUGUGCACUGACGUCCGAUUAUCAUCCACAGGAUUUAUUACUUUUCAGUCAGUGGGUGAGGAAUCCGCGCUGCGGUUUACUGCCUCCCCUGUGGAUCAGCGGGCCGGGAAGGGGAGGGCAUUGACGGGCUGUGGCCGUCUUGGUGUUAUUUGCCCUCCAGGCAUCUGCCCUUGAGCGUAAACACCCUUAGCAUUCUGAACUGCACCCUGGGAAAUCAGCGGCGGAAUCGGAAGGGACCAUCAGAGCGGGGUGUUGACGGGCGGCUGACGUGACAUUAAGCCUCAGAUGUAGCCUGAUGGUUACACCGUCUCCCACUGUGAGAUCAGGCACCAACGGGGAAAGAUAUUUGUGAUCGGCCAACGCUGUCUCCCCAAACUGUGAAAUGCCAAAUUGAAAUCCUGUGAUUGUUGUAAAUGGACAUAAAGUUUUGGUAUUACGCAACUUAACUAUAAGGUAAGUAUGACGACUUUGAAAAGUUGUGUGUUUGAGAAAAAUACAUUUCCUGUUGGAAGCUCUACUGGCCAGCAACCCCUCUCCCCCCCCACCAUCCUCCCCUCCUCCCCACCACCUGGGUUCCAUGUGGGCAGACGGCCCAUCAUUCAGUACAGAUGGGUGGGCAGACUCAACAAACAGGGAGAUAGAUGCAUGCAACCGCUCGCUAACUAGGGGAAAACGAGAAGAGAAGCCGUGCAAGAAGGAAAGCAGGAGAAAGACUCUGCUUACGCUUUAAUGUUAAAGGUGCAAUAUGUUACCACUGUGCUUGGAAACACAAGUCGUCGACCCUCCGCCCAUCAAACGACAGGAGGACGUUCACGUGUGAUGAUUAUAAAGGACUAUUAGUGGAAACGUGUGAAAAUAGUGAGUCAGAGAAAAGAAACCUAAUAUUCAUGUUCCAAAGCACAGACAGGACACCCACUGUGGAGGAGUGACAUAGGGACUUCAUAUACAGCUGUCAAUCAGCGUGUAGCCCCGCCCUAUGGCCAACCCUGCUUUAUGGUCUCCAUCCGUCAAAGGAGGAAGCUGCACAAUUACAGCGCAGAGGAUAAAAUAACAAAGACUGGCUAUGAGGCGCCGAGUUACAGUAUUUCUCUCACUACUAAUUAGCAUCAGUGAUAAGUGGGCAUCUCGGCUCCCCCUGACAUCCCCCUGCAGCACAACAGGGGCCGGGGGGGCUGCUGAGCCCAACCUGGUGCUGUGGCGGAGGGCAAGAUGGUGCACCAUGUAACAUCUGCUCCCUCCAGCUGUUGGAGUAGCACUAACGCAGACGCGUACCAGCAGAAAACAGAGCAGUGUUGGAUUUAAAAAGAAGAAAUGCAUGUUUUAUUUGGUGCAUAUUUUCAUACUAAGCCCUGCGGGCAGUGACGCGUCGGUCUGGAGAGUCGGGGGUCAAAGGGUCAUGAUACAACAUGAGAAGAGCUCUGUUCACAUCCACCGCUUCUCAUCGGCUCUCAACAGCUGAGUCGGCAGCAUGCGACAAUUGGUUGCUAUUGCUAAUCUAUAAUCACCGCGGCAACAUGCUAAUGCUAAGCAGGUGCAAUGUUUACCGCGGUCAUACCAGAAUGCUAACAUUUGCUUUUUGCACAAAGCACAAAGGAGCAGGAUGGUAGUUGCCAAAUACUAUUUAAAAAUGUUUCACCAACGAUGAAGGAUACGUUAUUAUCCUCUAGGGAAGAUGCGCGUGUGCAGUAAAUUAUACUGCAAUCUGUCCAAAAGCUGUUGAGAUAUUUGAAUCCUCCCCAAACAGGAGUGUUGGAGGAGACGUCAGGGGAUCACCUGAACCAGCAGGAUUCCUCUUAAUACAAAACGUGAAAUAUUAUGAACGAAAUCUCAGGGCGUGAGAUUAAAACGGAGACGGGGGAGAAAUCCCACAGCGGAGCCGGCCUCGUUCGGCCUGAUAUCCCCUCUGUGACACGUCCUCCCUCGGGGUAUUGUGACAUGCAGAGGACAUGUCCAAGCUAUUCUUAUCAGCCUAUGCAGCACACACACACACACACAAACACACACACAAACACACACACACAGACACGCACAGGAUGAGUCCCACUCGGGCCCCAGCUUUAGGAGAGCGGGGGGUGGGGAGGGGGGCGUGAAGAAGGUGGCUUCACUGCUUCUGGACCAGCCGUCUUUCAUCAUUGAGGCGAGCUCGUGGAGACCUCGAUGUGAGCUCUUCACGGUCCGGUCAGUUGGAACCCCCCCCCCCCCAACUCCCAGUCACUGGUCAUGCUUCAUUUAAAAGAGGGACUAUUUCUGUCCUGCGCGUGAUGCGGAAAGUCCUUUGGUGUCGUUUGGGAGGGGACACCUCUCACAUGUGGCCGCCAUGUGCUCUGUAGACAUAUAGAUAUGAAGGUAUGACGAGGUAUUUGUAGGUAUGUAGAGGUAUAGGUAUGUGUAUUCGUAGAUAUGAAGAUGUGUAGGUUUGUAGGUAUGUAGAUAUGAGGGUAUGUAGAUGUGUAGGUAUGUAGAUAUGUAGGUAUGUAGAUAUGAAGGUAUGUAGAUAUGAAGGUAUGUAGGUUUGUAGGUUUGUAGGUAUCUAGAUAUGUAGAUAUGUAGAUAUGAAGGUAUGUAGAUAUGAAGGUAUGUAGAUAUGAAGGUAUGUAGAUAUGUAGGUAUGUAGAUAUGAAGGUAUGUAGAUGUGUAGGUAUGUAGAUAUGUAGAUAUGUAGAUAUGAAGGUAUGUAGAUGUGUAGGUUUGUAGGUAUGUAGAUAUGUAUAAUAUGUAGAUCUCUGCAAAACACGUUGUGCCUGAAGUCGACUGAGACGUUCACCUCGCCAACUUUCAAGAGAGGUCGAGGUGUCACAGAGGAAAUCAAAAACAAUUUGUAAUUUUAAAGGGAAUUCUGCACAGGAAUUAGAGUUGGAAUUAUCCAACGAAGAGAAGCUUUAACGUACAGGUCCAAUGAGCAAAGAAGUUUAUCCGUUAAGGCACCAUGGAGAGAGCGCACCAUGGCAACGCACCAUGGCAACGCACUUGUGUCGUUUUCUUAACAAACAAACUCAAAUUGAAUAAAUAAACAAAUAACAGGCAAAAACAGACCAAACAAGGUCAUAUUGUAUAAUGAAAUAAGAGCAGGAGGAGGAGGAGGAGGAGGAGGGAGG
ensembl:lncRNA